AGCGCAGAAGAGGGGAGAGGCAUCUCCACGUGUGGCGUCGAAAUGUGUAGAGAGGUGGAGCAACACCAGUGACGAAGUUGGCUCUCUGCUCUGUAACUGAUGAUGAGGCGUGAAAGCGUGGGGAGCGAACAUGAUUAGAUACGCUGGUAGUCCACUCUGUAAACGAUGAGUGCUAAGUGUUAGAGGGUCUCCCCUCUUUAGUGCUGCAGCACACCCAUUAAGCACUCCGCCUGGGGAGUGCGGUCGCGAGACUGAAACUCAAAGGAAUUGACGGGGGCCCGCACAAGCGGUGGAGCAUGUGGUUUAAUUCGAAGCACCGCGAAGAACCUUACCGGGUCUUGACAUCCUCUGACACUCCUAGAGAUAGGAAUUUCCCUUCGGGGACAGAGUGACAGGUGGUGCAUGGUUGUCUUCAGCUCGUGUCGUGAGAUGUUGGGUUAAGUCCCGCAACGAGCGCAACCCUUGAUCUUAGUUGCCAGCAUUUAGUUGGGCACUCUAAGGUGACUGCCGGUGACAAACCGGAGGAAGGUGGGGAUGACGUCAAAUCAUCAUGCCCCUUAUGACCUGGGCUACACACGUGCUACAAUGGAUGGUACAAAGGGCAGCGAAACCGCGAGGUUAAGCCAAUCCCAUAAAACCAUUCUCAGUUCGGAUUGCAGGCUGCAACUCGCCUGCAUGAAGCCGGAAUCGCUAGUAAUCGCGGAUCAGCAUGCCGCGGUGAAUACGUAUAUAGGCCUUGUACCCCCCUCUAGGCACACCCCGAGAGUUAUAU
rnacentral:rRNA from 1 species